UCUGGGCGCUGCGUCAGCGGGGCGGCGGUGGCCUUUCGCGGGCAGUGUUUGGCCUUGGCCUCGGUAAACAAUUUACAGGCGCUGGAACUUCGCACGAAGCUGCCGUUCGCUCUGGGGGUGUUCGCAGCCAUGAAGCACUGAACAGUAAUGAACAGCGAGCGCUGUCCGUCAGGGCAUGCUUGUCCCGGGAUUAGCCGUGAGGUUGUUUGUCCUGAGCAGAACCCAGAGAAGGAUCGAGGUGGGGGCUUAGCUCAGAAGGUGGAGGACAGUCUUCCUUCGUUCGAGCGCUUGGCCCGGCGCUGCUGAUUGUGCUCUGCCUGACACCCACAUCGUCCCUCUCCUCCCACCGCAGCAAGGCUGGGAGGAGGCCCCGGGCCCGGCAGGGCUCACCCGACUCGAGGUGGGCCCCUACGACCGCCCGGGGCACGCUGCCCUCCCACGGUGAUUUAAGCUCCUCCUGGUCGUCUGCCGUGUGACAGUGGUCUGACCGGUCGAUCACGGAUGCACUCGUGGUUAAAAGAGUCUGUAUCUCUUUCUUCUUCAUGUGCUUCUGUGGGAGGAAUCCUGUUCCUCAGCCCUAGCCAGGCCUGCGGAGAGUCAUACAGUGACUGUGUGGAAGACUGGUGGAAGAAAACCUGUCAUCCCAGCAGGAGGGGGUGAUUUACCAUCACGGGACUUCAGGACCUUGUCACAGUUUGCUUUCUCACCAUCCUGCUCCAAGCAUGGUGGUGCUUCUGUAACCAUGUGCUUUUACUUAUUUGUUCCAUCCUGAGCAUGUAAAUAAAGACUGGUUUGAGCUGUUCAA